CCCUUAGAUGUUCUGGGCUGCACGCGCGCUACACUGAAGCGUUCAACGAGUAUUCACCUUGCCCGGGAGGGUUGGGUAAUCUUUUGAAAACGCUUCGUGAUGGGGAUAGAUUAUUGCAAUUAUUAAUCUUCAACGAGGAAUUCCUAGUAAGCGCGAGUCAUCAGCUCGUGCUGAUUACGUCCCUGCCCUUUGUACACACCGCCCGUCGCUCCCACCGAUUGAGUGAUCCGGUGAAUAAUUCGGACUGCAGCACUGCUUGGUCUCCAGGCUUUGCAACGGAAAGUUUAGUGAACCUUAUCACUUAGAGGAAGGAGAAGUCGUAACA
rnacentral:rRNA from 1 species